CCUACGGGAGGCAGCAGUGAGGAAUAUUGGUCAAUGGACGAGAGUCUGAACCAGCCAAGUAGCGUGAAGGAUGACUGCCCUAUGGGUUGUAAACUUCUUUUAUAUGGGAAUAAAGUAUUCCACGUGUGGGAUUUUGUAUGUACCAUAUGAAUAAGGAUCGGCUAACUCCGUGCCAGCAGCCGCGGUAAUACGGAGGAUCCGAGCGUUAUCCGGAUUUAUUGGGUUUAAAGGGAGCGUAGGCGGGUUGUUAAGUCAGUUGUGAAAGUUUGCGGCUCAACCGUAAAAUUGCAGUUGAUACUGGCGACCUUGAGUGCAACAGAGGUAGGCGGAAUUCGUGGUGUAGCGGUGAAAUGCUUAGAUAUCACGAAGAACUCCGAUUGCGAAGGCAGCCUGCUAAGCUGCAACUGACAUUGAGGCUCGAAAG
rnacentral:rRNA from 1 species